GUCCUAAAUGCAGUUAGAAUUUAUUUAGAACUACAAAUUAAAUUUCUUUUAGUAAUAAUUGUUUUUUAAUGUCACAAUUCCAACCCUGCUCCUUUAUCCGGGUUUGGACCGGCAAGAGUGACCCGAAAUUGGCACGACUGCGUUACAGUCAGUGCGGGAGCAGCGGCUUCGCUCUUGCGCGAUUCAUUUGCCGUUUGGAGGCAUAGGUGUGAACGUCUCCUGCCCUGAUAGCAGCUGGGGGAGGACUAUCCUCCGCCUGUGAGCGCUUUGGCACGGGUGAAGUGCCCAUGGCAGCGCCGCUGCUUGUUGAGAAGACUCAAAGACACACAAGACCCAGUAAAAGAGCCUGAGAGGAGUUCAGAAGCGCUCCCAUAAAAGAUGCAGGGACUGCAGAGAAGAUCUCCAUGACUCUGACAGAGAUUUCAGUUUUCAUGAAGAAAUAGGACAUGGAGCUUCAGCUGAGAACAGAGAAAGAGAGGGGAAGAGGCUGCCAUCACAGGGUUACGGUUGCAGAGGAGAAAUGAAGGGCAUGGCUUUUCAAGACUGCUAUGUCUGAAAAUGGUCUCUAUUUAUAAAGGCAAUUUCAGAACACCACAUUUUUGACUGUGGGAUGUUUAUGGACCCGGAAUCCAGAGAGUUAUCAUGGCGUGUGCAAAUUCUUUUACGUAGCCCAGCUUAAAUUGCAUUUAAAGAAAGAAGAAAAAAAAAAAGUAGGCAAUUUCAGAAUACCUGUUAGUUCCCACCAGAGUUAAGAGCACAUCUCUGGGUUAUCAUUAUAACAGACUACCUGAACGUGUCACAUUCCUUUUGUCCUUGCUUUAAUUUUUCUUGGACUGCUGGCACUGGGACCGGGCCAUGGAGAAGCAGAAGAAGAUGGAUGGAAUUUGAGAUCAACACAUUUUUGACUGUGUGAUGUAUUUAUUCUGCAUUAAAAUGGACCAAGCACCUCCAGCUCUCCCUCCUAGGUCAACAAAGGCACCCAUCUUCCACCACAAACAACAGGAAGGCCGACACUAGAAGAAGCCUAACAUGACAAAACAACAUGAUCUGGUACCUUGUGCCUUUUUAGUGACACUAUAUCGGUGUGUAGUAUCAAUGCAAAAUAUAUGAGUUUAAGACAAAACUGCUGUCAACGAUGGUGAAACUCUACAUUUUCAUGGUUUAGUUUAUAACAUGCAGUCUGUCCCCUGAAGAAACCAUCCCUUAUGCCAUUUUGUGGCCAAGUUGCUGUCUCUGCCUGCUGUGAAGUGCACACACUGGGAUCCUAUAUUAAUGUAAUUCUAGUCUCAUAAAUCAAAUUCAUGCAGCCUGGAGAUGAAAAGUUAGGCAAUCUGGGAAUGUGUUUGGGAUAUUUUUGCACCAGCAUGUUAUUUCUUUUCUUCUUCUUUUUUUUAUUCAUGCAUACAGCCAUAUGUCAGCACUCAUGUUUUUGUUUGUUAUUUGGGCCAUACUGCUUGGACCUUCUGGAGCCGGAAAGGUGACUCGUGGCCCUCAGCUCGGAGAGAAAUACUGCAUUUGACACCCAUUUCUAAACUGCUGAACCACUUUUGUGAAGGUGCUGGAUACAGUUUGGCUGUGGCACUCAACUUCACUCAGACCAAAACAGAAAUGCCAAAAAAACAGAGCUCCAUAUCUGCCUUUUUCACAGCUCCUCGGAGAGUUCUCAAUAAGAUGUGCACUUGUGAGCCACCAAACAUGGAUUCAGUGCAGCCUCUUUCAUCAUCAUACCGAAUUUCCCAGAGGAACCCACCCGAGGGAUUAAUAAAGUUUUAUCUUAUCUUAUCUGACUCAGCUACACCGACAGCCACAGCGUCAGGGAAAAAACGAGGGCGGAUUGUUGGUCUUGAAAACUCCGACUUUGAGCCCGUUUUAGUUGACGAGUGUAAAAUUAGAAAUGUGACUGAGAAGGAAACAGAAUUAUGGCAGGCACAUUCAGAAAACCAUUCAACUUUACAAAAUGUAUACUGUGAAUCUGAAGAAGAGAAGCCUGGAAAGUGUGAACCACCACAGAAUAAGAGGAGGGUCUCUGAUGCCACCUUUACACAAGAUGACAGUCAACCUCUACCACAGACGUGGAGUCAGGACCCUGUUCACUUUCAGUCAGUACACUGAAAAUGAGUUUCAUCAGACUAACCACAAAUGUACGACAGUCAAGAACUUCAGCAGCUCUGAGCCAAGUUUCCUAAACAGUCUGCAGUAUGAGGAGGACGAAGUCUUUAGAAAACUGAUAGCUGCAGAAGGACUAACCUCAACUCAAAAAUCUUUAAAACGCCUUCAUUCUUCUCAUAUGAUUAAUGAGAAGGAAAACGGGACGCCACUGUCUUAUAAUUCCCCAGGAAAAAUCUCCUGUUUCUCUCAUUUCAGACCUGUUUCAAAUCAUAAGCAGACACAACCAAAAACCGCUUCAUGUCGGAAACAAACAGGUAAGACUUUUUAAAAAAAAUCUUUUAUCAUGAGGAGCAGAGAAGAUGACAAGAACAGGAAAGACUGAACUAACAGUCUUUUAGUAUACUUUUUAUUACAAACCCUAACGAGCAGUAACUGAUUAUGUGUUGCUCUACACUUGUAGGAUGCAUCUUAAAGGCAUGCGGGGCAGAGGAGAUGAGCGGAAGAGGAAACAGAUAUGGAGGACAGAUAGCGCCAUCGAUAUGUUGCUCAUCAAUGACCAACAAUUAGCAGAAAUCUGGCAACGGACAGUUGGCAAAAAGACGGCAUUACACCCCAAGCCUCCACUGUCCCAGUAACAGCGGAUUACCAUGGAGAGUAAAGUUUUCAGUUGGUAAAAAAAAAAAAAAAAAAAAAAAAAAAAAAGUCAGAGGGCUGCCUCCUGCCCUGCCCUCUGACAUUUUUACUCUCCAUGGUAAUCCGCUUCUCCCCUCUCCCCCCUCGUCCUCACCUCCUUACCUGUGCCCCUCCCUUUAGGCAGGGAGGGGUCUAAAUUCAUUUCCCUGUUCAUAUUUCAGCCUCCCUUCUCCCCACUCAACCCUCCUCCUCACCUCCUCCUCAUCCCUCCUUCUCUCCCUUCCUUUGUGUGGAGUUUGGUGUGGAGAAAAAAAAGUUUUCUCUUGUUGAGAACUUCCACUAAACAGUACCGGGAUAGACACAACACUUAAAAAGUUAACGGCUACGACAACGGGGAAAAAAUGUUUAAAAAGAAGCCUUACGGUGGAUCAGAUUCCUUCCACCCAAAUGUUAUUUAUGUGAAAAUAAAAAUGCCACCGCACACGUUUGCUUGAGGAAUCCAUCAGACCAGACCACCUCCAUUUUGUGAGCCCACAGAACCCUCCCCAUCUGGCUCUCCCCUCCUCACCCCUCCUCCUCUCCCAUCCUCUGUGUGGAGAAAACCAUGUUUCAGAACUGUGGGAUGUUUAUGGACGCGGAAUCCAAAGAGUUGCCUUGCUCUCCCUCCUAGGUCAACAAAGGCACCCAUCUUGCACCAUGAACAACAGGAAGGCCUAACCCAGAAGAAGCCUAAGAUGAAAAAACAACACGAUCUGUUACCUUGUACAGACUGGUGGAGAUCGGAGAUUUGAUCGAGGAGUGGCCAGAGACAAACGUUUUCUAGAGAGGCCCCUUUGAGAUGGCACCAUCCUGGGAGAAACGGAACCUGGGCCGCCGUCUCCAGCCCGACUCGUUGGACCAGAACCAGGCGGUGGUUAUAGCCAAGCUAGCAGACUGGAAUCCAGCUACCACAUCAGCAGUGACAAACCCAGUAAACAAGAAUGACAGCCACAGAACGACAGGUCUGCACUCCAACGAGAGACCCCAACACACAGAGGAAACUCCAGGACUGGAAUCUUCAUGUGAAGAAAAUAUCGGUGAUCAUCGGUGACUCCAAUGUGCACAGACUCCUCCGUCCUAUAAAGCAGAGGGGUACAGAUCGACAGAUUUCCAUGAGCGAAAUGUUGCCACCCGGUGAGGCCCAGCUGGAGAAAGCACACUGUGGAAAAUCUGGUUUUAUAACUUUGGACUGAAUACCAGUGAUGGAGCUGAAAAUGGGACUAAAGGCAGAGCAGUAAGCAAUCUUUCUAAGGCCCUUCUAUGUGAAGAACAAGCCACAUCGUUGCAUCUGAACAACUUUAUUACAGGUUUAGAUGAACAGAUUCCUGUACUUCCUACUUUGAUAUUCAGCACAGAGAAGGACAACAUUCACUCGACCAGUAGAGCUGCAAUGUGUAUGUUAGAACAGUGGAACCAGUGUGUAAAUGAGGCAUCCCCCAUAAGCCUUGAAAAGUGGGAGGAGAGUAGUGGUGUGAUUCACCUUUCUUAAGUUCCAAUGCUCAGCGGGUCCUUUGGACAGAAAUAAGUUCUUCUUCUUUCAAUUAUUGUUUAUUCUGUUCAUUGUAGAAUCAGCUAGGCUCCAGUGGUCAGGAGAAGCUUCUGCUAUAUGAAGCUGUUACAGUGCUUUUUGUUACAUUGAACGAGAGUAGUUUUUCUUGUUGCUUGUUUGAUCUACUGCCGUUUAAAAGAUUAUAAUUACUGAAGUGAAUGUGUUUUGAGACAGUUUACAGUGCCACUGAAGCUCCACUCAACCAAGUGUGCCUCAACAGUCUGAAAUGAAGAUUUUUCUUGCUUUUUUUUUUUAUUUCUCUCCCUCUCAUGCUUCUGUUUGGAUUCCCAUUGGACAAAGCACUUCGGUUUGUGUUAGCAGGCUGAAAACAAUAAUUUUGGAUGUUUCUUUCGGCUCUUGAGGUGCCCUCAUUGAGUGCGGUUUGCCCAGUGUCCUCGAGGGUAUGUGAGGAGCCUUCCAUAGUUGGGUUGUUGUGUUUUUACCCCAGCAGCUAUUCAUCUCCAUCUCAACAGUUCAUGACCAACAUGCCGUGGCUGCCCCCUGUACCUGUUGAGUACCUUUACCCAGGCAAGUUCAGGACCGUGCACGUCCUCCUGCCUUCAAAAGAGGGGGGAGGAGGAGGUGAAUAGUUCAGCCUUCCUUCUCCCCCCUCACCCUCACCCUUUACCCGUGCCCCUCCCUUUAGGCAGGGAGGGGUCUGAACUUCAUUUCCUUGUUCAUAUUCACGUCCUCCUGCCCUCUAUGAGGGGGCAGAAGGACGUGAAUAUUUCAGCCUCCCUUCUCCCCACUCACCCCUCCUCCUCCUCACCUCCUCUCUUUUACCUCGGCAGCCCAUGACCGGCAUGCCGUGGCUGCCCCCUGUACCUGUUGAGUACCUGUACCCUCAUCCACUGAAGCCUGGACCUCCAGCUGAUUGCAACCACUUUAGUGCAAGGAGAUGAUUGCGUUUUGUGUGACUGUCUUGCAGUUCACCCUUCCCUUUCUACCCUAACCCAUUUUCCACUCCAGCCUCUACCCCACUCGGUUCAGACCCCUCCUCAGGCAAGGAGGGGUUUCAAUCCCAUUUCCCGCACCCCCAACCUUAACCCACCAUCAAGUCCUGCCCCCUUCUCUCCUCAUACCGCUGCCCACAGUUCAGACCCCUCCUCAGGCCCCUUACUGCCUGAACGGCUCUAACCAAAUUAGGAACAUAGGUUUUUUUGUUUUUUUUUCAAAAGCAAAUGUUUUAAAAAAGAAAAGAACAGAAAAACAUAACUGAACACAACAGUAUGUCAGUGUACAGUGAGUGAUCAGGCAGUACAGUUUUAGGAA